UGGCAUCCUUAAUAAAUAAUAGCACCAUGCAUACAUGCUUGAAUUAAGUGACCUCUAGCUCUAUACAAAGAGACUAGUUUUAUAUUUUGAGUUGGCAUUGCUGAUAUUAGUUAUUAUGGGUAGCAGAAAGCAGCCCCAUGCAGUUUGUGUACCAUUUCCAGCACAAGGUCACAUAAACCCAAUGAUGCAACUGGCCAAGCUUCUACACUCCAGAGGCUUCUACAUCACCUUCGUCAACACCGAGUUCAACCACAGACGCUUGCUUCAAUCCAAAGGUCCUGAAUUUCUAAAGGGCUGUGCUGAUUUCCAGUUUGAGUCUAUACCGGAUGGGCUGCCACCGUCCGAUCGUGAUGCCACUCAAGAUCCUCCGACCCUCUGCAUCGCAAUGCGAGACAACUGUUUGGAUCCCUUUCGAGUUUUAUUAAAAAAGCUCAACAACAACAACAACAACUCGAUUGCAUCGCGGCAAGUGCCAGGUGUUACGUGCGUAGUAUCUGAUGGAGCGAUGAACUUUGCCAUGAAAGCCGCAGAAGAAGCUGGGAUUCCAGAGGUGCAAUUUUGGACUGCAUCGGCUUGUGGCUUCAUGGGCUACCUUCACUACCCUCAACUUGUCCAAAGAGGCAUUUUCCCAUUCAAAGAUGAGAGUUUCCAAAGUGAUGGCUCUCUUGACACAACUAUAGAUUGGAUCCCUGGCAUGAGGAACAUUCGGCUCAAGGACAUGCCAUCCUUUAUCAGAACCACAGAUCCUAAUGACAUCUUGUUCAAUUACCUGAGUGAGGAAGUACAAAAUUGCUUAAAAGCAUCUGCAAUCAUCUUCAACACCUUCGACACAUUGGAGCAUCAGGUAUUGCAAGCUAUCGCAUCCAAGUUCCAUAACAUUUACACUAUUGGGCCACUUUCUUUGCUAUCCAAGCAGGUGAUUGAUGGUGAAUUCAAGUCACUUAAUUCAAGUUUAUGGAAGGAAGACACGAAAUGCCUCCAAUGGCUUGAUACGAAGGAACCAAACUCUGUUGUGUAUGUCAACUAUGGAAGUAUAACCGUCAUGACAGACCAACAUCUGAAGGAAUUUGCAUGGGGGCUUGCAAAUAGUAAGCACCCAUUUCUUUGGAUCGUUCGACCUGAUAUUGUAAUGGGCGAUUCAGCAAUCUUGCCUGAACACUUUGUUGAGGAGACUAAAGAUAGAGGAUUGCUAGUAAGUUGGUGCCCACAAGAACAAGUACUUUCCCACCCAUCAAUUGGUGUCUUUCUAACACAUUGUGGUUGGAACUCUACAUUGGAAAGCAUAUGUGUAGGAGUACCCAUAAUUUGUUGGCCUUUCUUUGCUGAGCAACAAACAAAUUGUCGAUAUGCAUGCACCGAGUGGGGGAUUGGAAUGGAGGUUAAUCAUGAUGUGAAGCGCAAUGAAAUUGUAGCACUUAUUAAUGAAAUGUUGGAAGGUGAUAAGGGGAAGCAAAUGCGAAAGAAAGCUCUCAAAUUGAAGAAGGAAGCAGAAGAAGCAACUGAUGUUGGAGGGUUAUCCUACAAUAACUUUGAUAGGCUCAUUAAAGAAGCUCUUCACUAUUGUGAGCAAUACUAACACAAAAGCUUAGCAGGGAAAAAUAGCACAAAUUCCGGUUGAAUCAGGAGCCCUUCAUAUAGCGACGACUUUAAAAGGAAGGAAAAGAAAAAUAGGAAAAGGAAAGCAUGAAGAUUAUGGCAAUCAAUACAAUGUGAACUCAAAUGGUGCACGCUAGCACACAUUCAUCUUUGGUGCGUGAACUGACGGCAGCCACAAUGCAGCUUGUGGCUGUCAAAUUCACAUUACAAAUUAUUAGUUUAACACCCUCAAUUUAUAAUGUCAAAGUAAAUUUUGAACUGUGGUAUUUUUUUCUAUUGUUGGCCUCUGUAGG